UCUCUGUUAGUAUAUCGGUUAGUACACGCGCCUGUCAUGCUAGUGUGCGCGCGAAAGCGGGGUUCGACUCCCCGACAGAGAG